UGGGGAAUAUUGCACAAUGGGCGAAAGCCUGAUGCAGCAACGCCGCGUGAGUGAUGAAGGCCUUCGGGUUGUAAAGCUCUGUCUUUUGGGACGAUAAUGACGGUACCAAAGGAGGAAGCCACGGCUAACUACGUGCCAGCAGCCGCGGUAAUACGUAGGUGGCAAGCGUUGCCCGGAUUUACUGGGCGUAAAGGAUGCGUAGGCGGAUUUUUAAGUGAGAUGUGAAAACCCUAAGCUUAACUUGGGGACUGCAUUUCAUACUGGAAAUCUAGAGUGCGGGAGAGGAGAAUGGAAUUCCUAGUGUAGCGGUGAAAUGCGUAGAGAUUAGGAAGAACACCAGUGGCGAAGGCGAUUCUCUGGACGUAACUGACGCUGAGGCAUGAAAGCGUGGGUAGCAAAACAGGAUUAGAUACCCCUGGUAGUCCACGCCGUAAACGAUGAGUACUAGGUGUAGGAGGUAUCGACCCCUUCUGUGCCGCAGUUAACACAAUAAGUACUCCGCCUGGGAAGUACGAUCGCAAGAUUAAAAACUUAAAUGAAUUGACGGGGGUCAUAGCUG
rnacentral:rRNA from 1 species